GAUCAUCCCUUGGGGAGCCCCAAGGGUGAGGGCACUACUAUUUUUUUAUUUUAAACCAAUCUAGAGGAGCUUGGUAGUGGGGAGGAAAUAAGGCGUAUGUGUAGCUCCUGCAUGGAGUGGGAGCCUCUGCAGUAAACUAAGUGUUCGUCUCCGCUGGCUCCGCACCUCUCCCAGAGCCGCCACACCUGCCCCACACCAAGGCCGCAGCCCCCCUGCACGGCGAAGCAGCACAGGACUUUCUCGGCCGUUGAUCAGAUGCCUUUGUUCCUUGUUGGCAACACCUACUGAAGACCUUCUUUCAACAAGCCUUUUAAGCAGAAAACAUAU